UUUGUUCGAGAUGAAUCUAUUGCCCUUCAAAAUAUAUCUUACAAGGCAACAAAUGUUGAUGAAUGACCAAAAGAACACAGACAGCAGGCCAUGAAUUCUCUCUCAUAUAUGGUGUAGGUUAAAAUCAGCAUCCCAAGUUCGUAUUGGGAUUAGGUUAUAAGAAGCUAAAUUAUACUCUGAUAAGCGUUGCUCGACAUUCUUGGUUUUACUUUCCUU
rnacentral:lncRNA from 1 species